GCCAGAGUAGCUCAGUGGUAGAGCAGCUGAUUCGUAAUCAGCAGGUCGGGAGUUCGAAACUCCCCUCUGGCUCCA
rnacentral:tRNA from 1 species